rnacentral:rRNA from 1 species
UUAAGCAUAUCAAUAAGCGGAGGAAAAGAAACUAACAAGGAUUCCCCUAGUAACGGCGAGUGAAGCGGGAAGAGCUCAAAUUUGAAAUCUGGUAGCCUUCGGUUGCCCGAGUUGUAAUCUAGAGAAGUGUUUUCCGCGUUGGCCCAUGUACAAGUCCCUUGGAACAGGGCGUCAUAGAGGGUGAGAAUCCCGUCCUUGACAUGGACCCCCAAUGCUUUGUGAUACACUUUCAACGAGUCGAGUUGUUUGGGAAUGCAGCUCAAAAUGGGUGGUGAAUUCCAUCUAAAGCUAAAUAUUGGCGAGAGACCGAUAGCGAACAAGUACCGUGAGGGAAAGAUGAAAAGCACUUUGGAAAGAGAGUUAAACAGUACGUGAAAUUGUUGAAAGGGAAACGAUUGAAGUCAGUCAUGCUCUUUGGAUUAAGCCGUUCUGCGGUGUAUUUCAUUGAGCGGGGUCAACAUCAGUUUUGAUCGCUGGAAAAGGGCAGGAGGAAGGUAGCACUCUCGGGUGAACUUAUAGCCUCUUGUCGUAUACAGUGAUUGGGACUGAGGAACGCAGCAUGCCUUUUGGCCGGGAUUCGUCCACGUACAUGCUUAGGAUGUUGACAUAAUGGCUUUAAACGACCCGUCUUGAA